rnacentral:lncRNA from 1 species
UAACCCCCGUCACUCUUCUCCUCUCUCGACCUCUCUUCUUUUCUCAAUCUCUCUCUAAAACCCUUCCCAUUCUCUCCGAUCAAAGAUGUAUAUUAGUGUGUCGUGUGCUUAUCUUCUUCUAUGUAAGUGUAUGUAUGUAUGGUAUUGUGUGUGUGUGCAUAUUGUCUUUUAUCCAAUGGAUAAAUCUGGGAGCAUCCCAUGUUUCUAUGUGUUCAUGGCCUAUAUGUGAUGAUUUCUAGAGAGAAAAGAGAAAAUGGCCAUGGGUUGGUGACUUAUCUAUGUGGGCCCCCUCCUUUUUGUCUUUGUUGAAUUGUUAUGGAAAAGAAAAUAAUUGAAAGAUUUCCCUUCUCUAUGUGUGUGAUACAUGGGCCCCAUUUUUCUUAGUGUAUGCUUAUCCCUUUUUUGCUUUGUGUCCAAGAAAGGUGAGGAUGAGGGGUUAUGGGGUAGUGUAGGUGAUGUGUUAUCAACUUUUAAUAGGGAGGGUUGUUAGUUUGUUAUUAAAUAAGAUAAAAUUUGUUGAGGGUUGUUGGAUUUGUUAUUUUGUCAUUUUGUGAAGGAAUAAUUACAUGGGGUAGGGCAUGAGAUAAGGUGAGCUAAAAAUAAAUAAAAUUGGACUUCGGGAGGGAAAAAAUUAGGUCUCUACAUCAUGCCCAUUUUUGGGUGUAAAGACAGAGUGUUUUCAGACAAACAAUAGACAACGAGACCAAAUUUCGACCCGACCAUUAUACCAAGGAAGAAAUGAAGGAAGAAGGACUACCAAGUUGGAGGGUCGAGUGAGGUCCUGUCGGGGUUCCAGUCCGUGGCCUUGUCAUUACAUCAAAAAUAAAAAAUUACAAGUUAAAACAUAAAUAAAAUUAAAAAAACCCUAUCUAUACAGCUUCUGUCGGACUCUUGACUUGAGUUUCAUCACCCUAUUCUUCAGGUGGGCUCUUGACUUGCAAUUUCUUCAACUUGCUACUUGAUUUUCAACUUCAUCACCCUAUUCACCAGGCGGGCUCCUGACUUGCUAUUUUUUCAAUCUAUUGACUUUUAAUUUCUUCAUCUUGUUGCUUAACCUUCAACUUCUUCACUAUGUUGCAUGAAUUUUCAUAUAUUCGCCCUGUUCUUCAGGUGGUCUCCUGAAAUCACAUCAAAACUAAAAAGAAAAUUAUCCCAAUCAAAGAAAUGCAUCUUCAAUGAGUUAAAUAGAAUGAUUCAACUAAAAAGUACGUCUUGUAGGAAUCAAAGAGAAUGACUCGACUAAAAGGUACGUCUUAUAGGAAUCAAGGGAAUGAGUCGACUAAAUGGUACGUCUUAUAGGAAUCAAAGGGAAUGAGUCAACUAAAAGGUACGUCUUAUAGGAAUCAAGGUGGAUGACUCGACUAAAAGGUACGUCUUAUAGGAAUCAAAGGGAAUGACUCGACUAAAUGGUACAUCUUAUAGGAAUCAAAGGGAAUGACUCAACUAAAAGGUAUGUCUCAGAGGAAUCAAGGAGAAUGACUCGACUAAAUGGUACAUCUUAUAGGAAUCAAAGGGAAUGACUUGACUAAAAGGUAUGUCUUGGAGGAAUCAAGGAGAAUGACUCAACUAAAAGGUACGUCUUAUAGGAAUCAAGGAAAAUGACUCGACUAAGUGGUACGUUUUAUAGGAAUCAAGUAAAAUGAAUCGACUAAAAGGUAUGUCUUAUAGGAAUUAAGGGGGAUGACUCGACUAAAAGGUACAUCUUAUAGGAAUCAAAGAGAGAUGACUCGACUAAAAGGUACAUCUUAUAGGAAUCAAGGGAAAUGACUCGACUAAAAGGUACGUCUUAUAGGAAUCAAGGAAAACGACUCAACUAAAAGGUACAUCUUAUAGGAAUCAAGGGAGAUCACUCGACUAAAAGGUACGUCUUAUAGGAAUCAAAGGGGAUGACUCGACUAAAAGGUAUGUCUUGUAGGAAUCCAAGGGGAUGACUUGACUAAAAGGUACAUCUUAUAGGAAUCAAGGGGAAUGAAUCGACUAAAGGGUAGGUCUUCUAAGAGUCAAGGGAAAUAAAUCGACUAGAAGGUAUGUCUCCUAGGAGUGAAGGUUCAAUUUAAGAAGUGUAUCACCUAGCAAAUAAAAAUUUAAAUCCCUGGACAAGUGUGUCUCCGAGGGAUAUGGGAUGAUGAAUUUUUACCAUGAUUUUAUUAUCAAACCUGUGCAGCAAUAUUGCUUCCUACAUUUGUAAAAGAGAGAAAUUGCAGCCCUUGAUGUUUAUGCUCUGAAGUCCCUGCUUUGAAGGUGAUAUGUUUCCUAUUUCAUCAAAGAAAACUUGUAAGUUUAAAACAUGGUGACUGGUUUCUGGCUUUAGCUUUUGCGGCGAUCGCUCUUGCCCUCAUCACAUUUACCCUUGCGUCUAACCGUUAGCAUGCAUCAUUGACUUGCUUUAUCAUUGACCCAAACUCAGGUUAUUAAGAGUGACUCUGAAACAAACACAGUAUUUCUGCUUUGCCAUGUUUCUCAGAUAAACUCUUUGUGCCUUUGUAUUUCCAUAGGUUCCCAAACUUGUGUGUUGACAAAACUUUCUGCAUGUCCUUUUUUGGCUCACAAUCAUGUUUCUUUCAUGUGCUGGCUAUUGUCUUGCUUUGUGCAAUUAAAGAAGUCGGUAGCCAGUUUUGAAAUCUUUUCUCACUUGUUUUAACUACGGACUUGACUCAGAGACAAGAGAAAAAAUGAUAAUGAUUUUUUAUUUGGUUAACUGACUCAAGAAAAUAAAAUAAAAAUAAAGAGAAGAAAGAAAAUACAAUAAAUGUCCCCAUUUGAAAUAAAUAAAUGAAAAUUUAUCUAGAAAAGACAGUAAACUCUAAUGAUUAUGUCAUGCAGUUUGGAUUAAGCUGCCAGAUCUUUCCAUCCAAACUUCUACCAAUUUUUGUUGAGUUAAUGGCCUUAAAACUGAGUUGCUUCCUUAGGCCAAAUUCAUUCAGAAAUCUCAUUCGGCUAGUGGAGCCUUGAAGGAUUUUCUCAAACAAACCUGUUUCUUUCUCUCAGUUCACUAUUGCCUUAUGGUGACCGUGAGGAUUUUCACCAAUAAGACUCUCUCAUUUUUAUUUCUGUCAAUUUUCCAUCGCCUUACGGUGCCUGUGAGGGUUUUCACCAAUAAGACUCUUUCAUUUUUAUUUCUCUCCUAAUUUUUUAUGAUGAUGAAGAUAAGUAGUACCAAAAAUGCAUCAUCAUAUCCAUUUCAUACUUAGACUUAACAUUCUCAAAGAUUGAUCUGACGGUCUUUCUUUGGUUGUAACUUGGACUUUGGAUAAGGUUAGAAAGAAGGGAUGACAUGAGGCCCAAACGACACUUGACGUGGUGUAGGACUUACAACUUUUGGAAUCGACUCAAACAAGGAAGAUUAAAUCAUGCCCUAGUUUCUUUUAACUGGGCAAUUCUAAAUUUUUUAUUUGGUUGGACCGAGCCCUGAGUAGGGCAGCCUACGUAUCUCACCCUCGAGAGAGGAGAAUCAGGUCAUGCAUAGUUCUGUCAGCUUAUUCUUUUUUGCUUGAUUCUAACUUGUUCUUCUUUUUUUUUACUCUUUUUUCUUUGUGAUUUUUUUGACUCUAAUUUCUUGACAAUCUUUUCUUCCUUCGUGGACACAUUUUCCUCUCCUUCCCUUUUUUUUUUGGAACUUUUUGACUCUAUUCUCUUGGUCGAUACUUUUUUUUGAGCUUUGCUGGAUUUAUCUUCAUUCCAAAAGAGGGGUAUGAAAGAAAAUAACACUAAGGCUCAAAUGGGGUAGACAAAGGAUGACAGAAUGUUUGGAUAGUAGAAUAAAAUACCCUCGUCAUAUCAAUCCUUGAAAAUACUAGUACAUAGCAUGCAAUAUGAAAGUGCAUGAUCAACAUCACUUAUGACAUAUUUUACAACACUAACUUGCACCAAGCAUGUGUGUCACCUCUUUUUCUAUACUUUUCAAACAUACAACUUCACAUUUGUUAUACAUCCCUCACUUUGAAUGACUUAUGCGAAAGUGCAUGAUCAACAUCACUUAUGACAUAUUUUACAACACUAACUUGCACCAAGCAUGUGUGUCACCUCUUUUUCUAUACUUUUCAAACAUACAACUUCACAUUUGUUAUACAUCCCUCACUUUGAAUGACUUAUGCUUUCAUAGAUUUGAUUUUCUUUCUGUUCCUUUUGAUAGAAUCACGCAGACACUUUUGACCUAAUUGAGAUAUGUCUUUCAAUUGAUGACUAAGUUAUUCUUGUGAUUCUCAAAAUAAAUAGCCUUAAUUUUCAAGGAAGGCUUGAACUUGUCACCAAAUGUCUCAACACUACUAUUUUCUCAGAUGUUUCUCCUAACUUUAGCGCUCUGAUCCAAUGUUUCAUGGUUAAAUUAGAUUUUAAGAUCUGGCUGAAAAUUCUGCAAGCAUGUCAUAUCACUAGAGUCAACAUAAAAUGUACAGUAUAAAGAAAACAAACAAAUAAAACAUAUUUAAAAUACAAGGAAAAGGGGAUACCCCAUUCUAUUAAAAUGAAAGAUAGAAGGGUUUGAACAUAAUGACAAAGGGACAAAAAAAGAUAGAUCCCGAACUGCAACCAUAAAAUAAUUCGAAUAACAAAAAAGAUAAUAGAACAAACUACUAGACCUCUUCCUAGUAGGGAGAGGGAUGACUUCUCAAUUGCUCAGCUUAACAACUUAGCCACUGGUUUGCAUAUCAUUAUGACUAGAGUUUUCCAUACUAUCAACGUUCUGUACAAAAAUUGAUCCAUCUUGAAUUAUCUUUUCAAUUUCUCUUUUCAAAUCUCAACAAUCUUCAAUACUAUGACCCUGAGCAUCAGAAUGAUACACACAUCAUGCAUUAGGAUCAAAAUUUCUUGAACGCCGAUUAAGAGUGUGCCCAAGGAGAGGAGUGAUCAUGCCCUCCUAUACCAAUCUUUAAAAUAAACUGGCAUAUGACUCUCCAAUUGGUGUAAAGCUAUCUCUCGAAUUCUGCCUUAUUUCAUCAUUUAUCUUGGAUCGAAAAUUAGGCUUAGAAGGGUUUUGGUAUGUUUAUGGGUAAUAUGAUGUUUGAAAAUGUGGUUGUGCAUUAUACACUGGAUAUGGAUGUGGAGGAACAGAGUAUAAUGGAUUUUGGGAGUGAUUAUAUGGUGCUUGGGCAUAAACUUGAGCCUGAGAUCAAUGAUGACGUGGUCUUCUUAACCUUUCCUGCUAUCCAACUAUAAUAGCAGAUCCAUCUUCCUCAUUCUUUUUCUCCCCAACACUUCCUGAAUCCUUUUGAAUUGCUUAAGUAUUCACUUUCAAUGUUGCAAAACUCACAAUGCGACAAGUCUUAAUUCCCUUUUCUAUCAUCUCCCCCAUUUUAAGGACCUCAAUGAAUGGCUUGCCUAAUGCAGGUAACAAGUGUUGAUAAUAUGUUUCGUCCUGUGCUUGAAUAAAUACCUCCAGUAUCUUACUUUAUUUCAUUGGAGGUUUCACCCUAGCAGCUUGUUCACGCCAUCUAAUCGCAUAUUCUCUGAAACUUUCAGUGUUCUUCUUCUUCAUAUUAGUCUGUGAUUUCUCAUCAGGAAACAACUACACAUUGUAUUGAAAUUGUUGCAUAAAUUCAUUAGCUAGGUCAUCCCAUCUAAUCCACUUGUCAACAAACCAUUCCGAAGCUAGGCUUGAAAGAUUCUCCCUGAAAUAAGCCAUAAGUAGUUCUUCCCUCCCUUCAGCGCCCCUUAAAUGGUUACAAUAAUGUCUCAAAUGUGACACUGGGUCCCCAUGUCGAUCAUAUUUCUUAAACUUUGGGAUUUUAAAGCCAGGAGGAAGGUAGACAUCUGGAAACAUGCAUAAGUCCUUAUAUGAGACACUUUUGCAACCCCCAAGUCCUUGCAAGUUCUUCAUAGCUAGUUUCGGACUUCUCAAUUUUUUGGUCAUUUCCACUUGUUCUUCUGUCAUAAUAGGAUUCUCAAUGUUAGAAGGAAGUUCAGGCGGGUGAGUGUCACCGAAAAGACCAGUCAACUUGAAUGUAGGCUCAGUAGCGUAACGUUGAUCACCAGUAAUAUUCAAUACAAGCUCUCUUGUAGAGUAGGGAGGCACAACUUGGGGAUGAACAUCAAAAGUAGAAACUUCAGGUAGGGGUGGCGCCGCAAAAGCAUGAAUAAUAGGUGGAGCCGAGUAUGUGGUAGUCUUGCAUUAGGGAGUGAGGAAAUGAAAAUUGGAAGUGGUUGGAUAUUAUUUCCCUGGAAUCGAUCCUGAUGGAUGUUGUGGCAUGUCAACAAAAAUGUGAAAUUAUGCAUGUGACACGGGAGGCCAGCUAGAAAGAUACUCCAGAUUAUCAGUGGGAACUAGUGGAGGUGUCAACCCAUUAGCCCAAGAUCGAUGUAUUUCUAUCAUUUGCUCCCUUAAUUUUCAGAUCUCUUCAUUAGAUCCUAAAUUAUCAUUUCCCUAACUCCCUAUCUGAUUAGUGACAACAAACUCGGUAUGCUUGUUGGCCAUAACUUUCUCAAUGAGUUGGUGCAUUAUAGAGGACCAGCUAAAAUGACACAAACCAACCACCUUAAACUAACUGAACAAGAGAUAACCAAUGUGUUAGAAUUCAACAUUUUUUCCAAAACUUUUUUUCCUUUUUGAAAAGGUCACCGAACCCAAGAAGGGCGCCUACGUAUCUCACCCCCGAGAGAGGAGAAUCAAGUGUGCAUAGUUUGUGAAGUCUUGCCAAAAUUACCAAAUUAAACUGUUUUUUUUCUUGAAAGUUUAAGAAGAAUAGAAAAUAACAAUUUGUCCAAAGAAUUGACAAAAAUCUUUUUGUAUUUUUUAGGUUUAAACAUCCUUCUAAAAAGUGAAAUUCUAUGAUUACCAAAGAAAUCUUUUUGGGUUUUCAGUUUUAAAUUUCAUACGAAAAUGAAACUUGAACCUAUUAAAGGAAUUUUUUUUUUUUGAUUUUCUUUUAAAGAUGUCUAUGAAAUCUACUCUAAAUAAAAAGUGAAGAAAAUUUUAAGUUUUUUUUUUUUUUAGAUUUCUAUACAAAAUGGAACCUACGAUUACCAAAGAAAAUCUUUUUGGAUUUUCAAUUUUACAUUUCAUACAAAAAUGAAACUUAAAACUUUUAAAGGAAAAUCUUUUUGUACUUUUCUUUUAAAGACGGAUAUGAAACACCUACCCUAAAUGAAGAGUGAAGAAAAUAAUUUUUUAAAUUUUUUAAAAUAAGAUCCCCGAACCAACAAUAGGCUGCCUACGUAUCUCACUCCCGAGAGAGGAGAAUCAAGUGUACGUUGUUUGUCCAGAUUGGACAAUUAAGGAUUAAAAUAAACUAAGACUUGACUUGAGAGACGUGAUUUCAGACGAACGAUGAGAAAUAAAAUCUUUUUGGGUUUUCAAUUAGACACUUCACACAAAACUGACACCAACAACUAUGAAAGAGAAAAAAAUCUUUUUGGCAUUUUCGCUAUAUGAAAUGUACAAAACUUUUACCAUUUUUCAUUUUCUUCUAUAAAAACUGCUAAUUUUUUAUUUUUUUUGACAAUUUCAAAUAAUGAAUGCAUGCUAAAAGAGACAAAGUGAGAAAUCUUUUUGAUAUUUUGAUUUUUGAACAAAUGACUGCAAAAAAUAAAGAAAUCUUUUUGAAUUUUGGAAUUGUUAAAAACAAAAGCCAUAAAGAAUAUUAAAAGCUGCGAAACUUUUUUUUUUCAAACGAUUUCUUGUCUAUAUACUUUACUUUUAACACAUGUUUUUCCCAAAUCAGUCCAUGAAAUAACCAUGUUACCUUCAAAGAUGCAACAUUUAGCACGUAGGGAUGCUUUAGAGGCGAGUCUCCUACAAAGAGCCAGGUGGGCCCUGCUAGGUCUUCAAUAUGAUACACAUAAGCAUGACCUAAAGACUGACCUACGUUGGGGUUCACUAAUAAGGCUUUUCGGGAAAGCAUAUGGUUGAUAGUGGCUGCUUUGCUUUUCACCUACUCCAUAACAUCGACGGCUCCCUACCUAAAAUAAGGGUGACUCAACUAGAGGUAGUGUACAACACGUGUACUAUGGACUUGUUGCAAAAAGAAUGACUCGAGUUAUGCACAUGAUGCCAGAUAUAAAGCGGUAACACAUAACACAAAAACUGUAAACAAAGAGCACGUAGGCACUCAACAGUGAAAAUACAAUAACUCAAAACAACACAAACAAAAUGUCCAUACAUCUAUAGUGCCAAACUAAGCCAAUACAACUCCAGAAAAAGCUAGAAUUCCGAAAAAUCCCCAGCAGAGUCGCCAGAGCUAUCAUACCCCUUUUAUAACUCUCCAAAAAGAUUGAUUUGAAGUUUUGAAAGGGCUUUUAUUAUUGAGUGAUUAAAUAUGAAAAUUUGUUUCGAAAAAAGAUUAUUUACAUUUAAACUCAGAGUCUCCACUUGGCAUAAACCGGUGAGCCAAGUCACCUUUGGAAAAUCCUUUUCAAAAUGAUUUGACUCUUGAAACUGGUUUGCGAAUAGAGAUUCUGGUUAAGGAAUUCUAUUGAUCAAGGGGAAGAUUUUAGGCACCCCUCGAUCCCGUGGUUUGACCACGGUCGCUUGGUAGAGUGAAUUGGCUAAUCUGGCACUACAAUUUAUAAACCACACAAAAAUACGUAAACCAAUCAAACAAACAAAGAAAAUAAAAUGAAUCAAAAAUAUGGUGUCCAGUCCGAGUUAUACAGUCCCGAAAUAAAAAAAUAUGGAAAUGUAAAUUCUAUUCUAAACUAAUCCUAGACUAAGCUCCAAUGCCUCACCCGAUGCCUCCGGCCUUCAUCACGAACGUCCUCCAAGUACAAGAUACUUCGGGGCAUUCCCCGGAAAAAUCAAUACAAAUCCCUCGGGGCAUUACCCGGCCAAAUGAAUACAUUUUUAGUGUGAGAAAAUCAAACUAUUCAACAAAAUUUUGAAUAUUCCACGGAAUUUCCAACAUUCAACCAAAGCCACAAAUCUAAACUUUGCCUACCCAACCUAUGUUUGCCUAAACCAAUCGAUGUAUCAUGAUACUAUUAAGUUCAAUUAACAUUCAUUUCAAGUCAAACAACCUAUGAAUAAAGCUAACCAAAAUUCACCAAUUAUAUCGAGUUUUCAAUUCUUACCCCCAAAUUCCCUUUUAAUGCUAAUUUUCCUCAAUUCACGAUUUCUAUUUUAAUGAAAUUAAGAAAAAAGUCAAUGUCAAAGUAGCAAUUCAUCACUAAUCAAUAUCAAGAUCAAACAACACACAAAUUUCAUUCAAUGCACCAUAUUCCAUCAACAAUGAAAUAAAAAGAGGAAAGGAGUAGAAAUGGACCUCAAUGAUGAUCUUACUCCGAAUAUCAGUCAAUUGAGAAGACGAAUUUGCAUGCCCAAGAACCUCGAUCUAAAACCUCAGUAACAACCUGACCUCAGACAUCAACCUCCAAGUCUCAAACCACAAUUUUUACACAAUUCCCCAAAAGCUGAUUGGAAACUUAGAACAAACGAGAAAUUCGAGCAAAAUCAAAAUUAAAUCGGACCACAACUCUGAAAGUCAACCAUAAUUUUAAGUUAUUUUCUCAACUAAGAAGUGACGAGGCUACUGGUAGCUCGUGGAUGGUGCUUUCUGGUGGCUUUGGGCUUGGGGAAGGAGUGUCUUUGGGCUAAGGUGUCAUUUUCGUCUAGCCGGAGCUCCGGCGAGAUUAGACGAUGACGGGAAAGGGAGGACGGAUGAAAUUUUGAUGAUAAUGGCACUUUUUGAAGAGAACCUCGCCAGAGCAGUUAACCCCCAUCACUCUUCUCCUCUCUCGACCUCUCUUCUUUUCUCAAUCUCUCUCCAAAACCCUUCCCAUUCACUCCGAUCAAAGAUGUAUAACAUUGUGUUGUAUGCUUAUCUUCUUCCGUGUAAGUGUAUUUAUGUAUGGUAUUGUGUGUGUGCGUAUUGUCUGUGCUCCAAUAUUGAAAUCUGGGAGCAUCCCCUGUUUCUAUGUGUUCAUGGCCUAUAUGUGAUGAUUUCUAGAGAGAAAAGAGAAAAUGGCCAUGGGUUGGUGACUU